rnacentral:rRNA from 1 species
UGGGGAAUAUUGCACAAUGGGCGCAAGCCUGAUGCAGCCAUGCCGCGUGUAUGAAGAAGGCCUUCGGGUUGUAAAGUACUUUCAGCGGGGAGGAAGGGAGUAAAGUUAAUACCUUUGCUCAUUGACGUUACCCGCAGAAGAAGCACCGGCUAACUCCGUGCCAGCAGCCGCGGUAAUACGGAGGGUGCAAGCGUUAAUCGGAAUUACUGGGCGUAAAGCGCACGCAGGCGGUUUGUUAAGUCAGAUGUGAAAUCCCCGGGCUCAACCUGGGAAGUGCAUCUGAUACUGGAAAGCUUGAGUCUCGUAGAGGGGGGUAGAAUUCCAGGUGUAGCGGUGAAAUGCGUAGAGAUCUGGAGGAAUACCGGUGGCGAAGGCGGCCCCCUGGACGAAGACUGACGCUCAGGUGCGAAAGCGUGGGGAGCAAACAGG